AACGAACGCUGGCGGCGUGCCUUCAGACAUGCAAGUCGAACGCGAAACGGGGCUUCGGCCCCGGAUUAGAGUGGCGGACGGGUGAGUAACACGUGGGUAAUCUGCCCCCGGGACGGGGACAACUCCUCGAAAGAGGGAGCUAAUACCGGAUACGCUUGGUUGCUCUUCGGGGCGGCCGAGGAAAAGAGGGCCUCUGCUUGCAAGCUCUCGCCCAGGGAGGAGCCCGCGGCCCAUUAGCUUGUUGGUGGGGUAAAGGCCUACCAAGGCGACGAUGGGGUAGCUGGUCUGAGAGGAUGGUCAGCCACACUGGGACUGAGAUACGGUCCAGACUCCUACGGGAGGCAGCAGUUUGGAAUAUUGGACAAUGGGCGAAAGCCUGACCCAGCAACGCCGCGUGAGUGAAGAAGGCCUUCGGGUCGUAAAUCUCUGUCAGGAGGGACAAUACCGGGUUACGGUCAAUACCCGUGGCCUCAGAUGGUACCUCCAAAGGAAGCACCGGCUAACUCCGUG
rnacentral:rRNA from 1 species